rnacentral:rRNA from 1 species
AGUGAACGCUGGCGGUAGGCCUAACACAUGCAAGUCGAACGGCAGCACAGUAAGAGCUUGCUCUUACGGGUGGCGAGUGGCGGACGGGUGAGGAAUACAUCGGAAUCUACUUUUUCGUGGGGGAUAACGUAGGGAAACUUACGCUAAUACCGCAUACGACCUACGGGUGAAAGCAGGGGAUCUUCGGACCUUGCGCGUUUGAAUGAGCCGAUGUCGGAUUAGCUAGUUGGCGGGGUAAAGGCCCACCAAGGCGACGAUCCGUAGCUGGUCUGAGAGGAUGAUCAGCCACACUGGAACUGAGACACGGUCCAGACUCCUGCGGGAGGCAGCAGUGGGGAAUAUUGGACAAUGGGCGCAAGCCUGAUCCAGCCAUACCGCGUGGGUGAAGAAGGCCUUCGGGUUGUAAAGCCCUUUUGUUGGGAAAGAAAAGCAGCAGGUUAAUACCCCGCUGUUCUGACGGUACCCAAAGAAUAAGCACCGGCUAACUUCGUG